GAGUUUGAUCUUGGCUCAGAACGAACGCUGGCGGCGUGUUUAAGACAUGCAAGUCGCACGGAGCAACUUGAGUAGCAAUACGAUGGUUGCUGAGUGGCGCACGGGUGAGUAACACGUGAAUUACAUGCCCUUCAGAGGGGGAAUAGCCCAGGGAAACUUGGAUUAAUACCCCAUGGUCUCGCAAGAGUAAAGGUGGCCGCAAGGCUGUCGCUGAAGGAUUGGUUCGCGCCCUAUCAGCUUGUUGGCGGGGUAACGGCCCACCAAGGCUACGACGGGUACCUGGUCUGAGAGGACGAUCAGGCACACUGGAACUGAGACACGGUCCAGACACCUACGGGUGGCAGCAGUCGAGAAUAAUUCACAAUGGGGGCAACCCUGAUGGUGCAACGCCGCGUGGAGGAUGACGGUCUUCGGAUUGUAACUCCUGUCAUCCGGGAGUAAGACCUGGCGGUUAACAGCCGACAGGGUUGAUAGUACCGGAAGAGGAAGGGACGGCGUAACUUCGUGCCAGCAGCCGCCGUAA
rnacentral:rRNA from 2 species